rnacentral:rRNA from 1 species
GUCCACGCCGUAAACGAUAACCACUAGAUGUUGGUUCGGCUUAGCUGGAUCAGUGUCGUAGCUAACGCGUUAAGUGGUUCGCCUGGGGAGUAUGGUCGCAAGGCUAAAACUUAAAGAAUUGACGGGGUCCGCACAAGCGGUGGAACAUGUGGUUUAAUUCGACACUACGCGAGAACCUUACCUGGACUUGACAUGUACUCGACAGUCGUAGAAAUACGAUCUUUUGGGUUUCGAUUCAAACGGGUACACAGGUGCUGCAUGGCUGUCGU